GUUGGCUUUCAAUAAACUUUUUCUCAAGUCUUGAGAUUUUUCUCAGCUGAGCCGUAAUUUUUUUAGACAUAAGCGGCCAAACAUCCAAGGAGCCGCGUGAACUUUCCCACGAACACGAGUGCAUAGUUGGGGGCAGUGGAUUUAUUCAUUUAUUGAGACGAAAUGAAGCGUUGAGAAAUGUUCAUAAACAACAUGUACAGUUUCGGGAUAUAUCCAAAUUGUAUGUUUGUACAAAGGUACGGCAGUGUAUUUUCAAUAUUAUAAUGAAUCAGCUUCAAACCUGUCACUUUUGAACCAGUCAUACACACAGUCGAGGGUAGUUACGUCAUAUUGCAUGUAUUUUCUUUACCAAAUAUGGGAUUAGGUAAACACAGCCAUACGUGUGACAAUUUUAUGUUAUCGGGCAUAUGUUUAUGGGAAUCAGAUAUGCAGCCGUCACAGCCUGCUGAUGAAGAUCCUCAGCUUAUACAGAGGUCAGGCUUGAACUAUGUGCUGAUUCUAAAGAUGCUAAUGACAGUGGAUAAUCCAUUCUGAGUUGUUCUAGGACUAUUCAUCCAAGGUUUCAAAACACUGAUGGAACUGAAGACAGUACGUGUACUGGUGUCUGGCCUGUGAUUUCAAGUAUAAUUGAUGUACCUCCUUGAAUACAAUAUAUCUGCCAUGUGAAAGGAACAAGCUGCAAGAUAUACUGAGGAAGUGGGGGCCUAUGUAAAAAAAACAUUUUAUUUAAAGAAUAUAAGAAAUCUGACACUAACUACAGAAAUCAAACAUUUACAGUGUGACUAACACAGUAGAUAGCUUUUCUAUAUGUUUUAAAAACUACAUGAAUGGUUUUGCAAAUAAAUUAUUGCCAAAACUCACUGAACCAGUUUGUUUUUAUUUUGUAUUUAUAACUACUAAGGGAUGGGUGUCUUAUUUUGAAUUUUGAUUGUUCUACAUUAAUCUGAAGGCGGGCCCAUUUAACGGGAGAGGAUGAGGAAUAUUUAAGACAAAAUGGGCACCCA